rnacentral:rRNA from 1 species
CCUACGGGUGGCAGCAGUGAGGAAUAUUGGUCAAUGGACGAGAGUCUGAACCAGCCAAGUAGCGUGAAGGAUGACUGCCCUAUGGGUUGUAAACUUCUUUUAUAUGGGAAUAAAAUGUUCCACGUGUGGUCUUUUGUAUGUACCAUAUGAAUAAGGAUCGGCUAACUCCGUGCCAGCAGCCGCGGUAAUACGGAGGAUCCGAGCGUUAUCCGGAUUUAUUGGGUUUAAAGGGAGCGUAGGUGGAUUGUUAAGUCAGUUGUGAAAGUUUGCGGCUCAACCGUAAAAUUGCAGUUGAUACUGGCAGUCUUGAGUACAGUAGAGGUGGGCGGAAUGCGUGGUGUAGCGGUGAAAUGCUUAGAUAUCACGAAGAACUCCGAUUGCGAAGGCAGCUCACUGGACUGCAACUGACACUGAGGCUCGAAAGUGUGGGUAUCAAACAGGAUUAGAUACCCUAGUAGUC